GAAAUAAUACAGGGAAAGGGAAGGGCUUCUCCAUGGUAAUUUAAUUAUGCUUACUGGUUUUAAACUUGUGUACAUAUAUAAAUAUAUAUAUAUAGUUGACUAUGCAUGAACCAGAACAGAUUUUAUACCUUCUAUAUUAUAUGUUUGUUGACUUUCUGAAGCAAGAGAAUUUAGUAUCUUGGUUUUUAAAUUUUGUUUCCUUCCUCUCCUUCCCCCUAUCCCCACUUACAGCAACAGAGUAUUUUUCUGACUCAUUGUACUAUUUAGCCUAUUUUUUAAAGAAGUAAAAAGGGGGAUUACAGUAGAAAAUGUAUACUUUUCUUAAAGAAUCAUGAAGAUGUAGAGAUCUCUUCCCUAAACUGUGAAAUCUUCUUGCUGUCACUCCUGUUCUUGCCUGUUUGGCACUGCACCAGCAACUGACUCGGCACACCUAAGUGCCUUAUGCCAACAGAGGAUUUAGUCCGAUAAUGACCUUCAGCUCUAGAUUCUUUGAAGUCUCCAAAAUUUUCAAAACUGAAAAGGUCGACACUCUUUUCUGCAUUGAUACUCACAUUACAUGUCUAAAUACAAGUUUCCCACUUGAUUACUGUUAUGAGGCUUUUCUAAUAACUCCAUAUAUUAACAUGUUUAUAUUUGAACAAAACAUAAACAUUUCUAUCAAAUCCUCUUUUUAUUUUAUUCUUUCAUUCCUUUAGUGGUAAUGCAGUAGAUGCAUCCUACAU
rnacentral:lncRNA from 1 species